UUGUUGAAUAACUAAAUAUUAUGAAGAUAAAUAUGUGUAUAAAUGUUAUAUGAUUUUUGAUUUAAGAGAGAGAUAGGAAGUAGAGUUUAGAGAGAGUUUAGAGAAUAGAUUUGCUUCUCUUAUUUUUUCCACUUGAAUUACAUUCACAAUGGCAUCUAUAUAUACACAUAAUGAUGUCUUAAUGGAAUAGCUAAUAAUGGCUAAUAUUAGGGGGUGGCUAAUGGGAUGAGUGGGUAGGUUUGUGUAAUGGGAUGAGUGGGUAGGUUUGUGUGAUGAAUAAUCACAUAUUUCAUAACACUCCCCCUUGAGUAUUCAUCACCAUAGAUGUAUGACGUACUGCCUCGUUAAAAACCUUCUCAUGGAAAAACCCAUUGGGAUAAAAACCAUGACAAGGGAAAAAGAGUACAGUAACACAUACUCCCCCUGGAAAAGACUUCAUAGGUCUCGUAGAUGACGCAUUCCAAUACUUUGAACAUGCUUUCUAAAUGUAGAAGUUGGAAGCGCCUUUGUGAAUAGAUCUGCUGCAUUGUCACUUGAACGAAUGUACUGAACGUUGACUUCCUUAUUCUUCUCGAGUUCUUGAGUGUAGGAGAAGAAUCUUGGAGGAAUAUGUUUUGUUCUGUCGCUCUUGAUAUAGCCUUCUUUGAUUUGAGCAACACAUGCAGCAUUAUCUUCAUAUAGUCUUGUUGGCUCUCUUUUGAUGACUAAUCCACUUGCUUCUUGAAUAUGGUUAGUCAUAGAUCUAAGCCAUACACAUUCUCUACACGCUUCAUGAAGAGCAAUGAUCUCUGCGUGAUUUGAUGAGGUGGCUACUAUCGUUUGCUUUUGAGAACGCCACGAGAUUGCAGUUCCUCCAAUGGUAAAAACAUAUCCAGUUUGUGAUCUAGACUUAUGAGAGUCCGAUAGAUAUCCUGCAUCUGCAAAACCAACUAGACCAAACUCGGAGUUUCUAGAAUAAUAUAAUCCCAAAUCAAUUGUACCUUGAAGAUAGCGGAAGAUGUGUUUUAUCCCAUUCCAAUGCCUUCGAGUAGGGGAUGAAUUGUACCUUGCAAGCAAAUUAGUAGCAAAAGCAAUAUCUGGUCUAGUACAAUUUGCAAGAUACAUAGAAUGAGAAAAUUCCAUCAUCAUCAUCUAUCUCAUUUCUAACCCAUAUUUUUCUAUUUUGGGUAUAGUUGAUCUCAUGGUUUUCUUUAUUAUUUUCGUCUUCAGGACUUUUUCCGUCUUCAGGACUUUUCUCUGUAUCCAACUCUUCAGGAAUCUUCUCAUUUACUUCUCCCAAUUUCUUUUUCUUCCGGGGAUUUUUAUCUUUUGAGCCCAUUGGUCUCCCCCUUUUCAACUGAACUUUAGGUUCAUUUAUUUUUCCAUCAGUUUGUUCUUCGGGAACAUCAAUUCUAGAUGGAACAUUCGCAGCGGGUAUAUAAGAUUUUGUCACCCUUCUUGUAUCAGUGAAUGCAUCUGGUAGUUGAUUUGCCAAAUUUUGUAAAUGUACAAUUUUCUGAACUUCCAGUUCACGUUGUUUCGUAGGGGGAUCAAGGUGCAAUAAAGAUGGUGUGCACCAUGUAAUAUCUUUUGGAAUUUCUUUAAUUCCUCCCCCUAAUGCUGGGAAUUCAUCCUCAUUAAAAUGGCAAUCAGCAAAACGUGCCGUAAACAUAUCACCAGUUUGCGGUUCAAGAUACCGAAUUAUACUUGGUGAUGUAAACCCGACAUAUAUUCCCAAUCUCCUUUGUGGUCCCAUUUUUGUUCUUUGUGGUGGAGCUAUAGGUACAUAAACCGCACAUCCAAAAACGCGGAGAUGGGAUAUAUCUGGCUUCUGGCCAGAACCUAAUUGUAAUGGGGAGUAUUUAUGAUAUGCACUUGGCCGUAUUUGAAUUAGUGCAGCAGCAUGCAAGAUUGCAUGACCCCAUACCAAAAUUGGGAGCUUUGUUCUCAUUAUUAACGGUCUAGCAAUAAGUUGUAGCCGUUUAAUCAAGGACUCAGCCAUGCCAUUUUGUGUAUGAACAUGAGGGACCGGAUGUUCAACAUCAAUUCCUAAUAACAUGCAAUAAUCAUUGAAAACUUGUGAAAUAAACUCACCAGCAUUAUCAAGUCUUACUUUCUUUAUUGUAUAAUCAGGGAAUUGUGCUCUCAACCUGAUUAUUUGGGUAAUGAAUUUCGCGAAAGCCGAAUUUCGUGUGCUUAACAAACACACAUGUGACCAUAUGCUGGAUGCGUCAAUUAAUACCAUAAAAUAUCGAAAUGGCCUGCACUGUGGGUGAAUAGGUCCACAUAUAUCACCAUGUAUUCUUUCUAAGAAUGCUGGAGAUUCAUUCCCAAUUUUCGCUGGUGAUGGCCGAGUUAUUAACUUUCCUUGAGAACAAGCAUUACAUGAAAAUUCUUUUGAUUGAAAAAUCUUCUGGUUUUUCAAUAGAUGGCCAUUUGAAUUUUUCAUAAUUUUACGCAUCAUGACUGAACCUGGAUGCCCUAAACGUUCAUGCCAGAUUUUGAACGUAUUUGUAAACUUCGGGUUUACAGUAAUAUAUGAUUCAAUCAUAUUUAUUUCUGUGGAAUAUAUUCCGGAGGAUAAAGCUGCUAGCUUUUCUAAUAUACAUUUAUUCUCCGUAAUAAUUGAUGUAAUGCAAAGAUAUUCAAUGCCAUUUUCAUUUAGAGUUUCUAUGUGAUAUCCAUUUCUGCGGAUAUCUCUGAAACUUAACAAAUUUCUAAAUGAUUUAGGAGAAUAUAAUGCAUUAUUUAUUUCAAUUUUUGUUCCCCUCGGCAUUGAAAAACUGGCUCUUCCGGAGCCCAUAAUAAUUUUUGCAUUGCCAGAUAUAGUAUUCACGCUUUCGGCAGAAUUUUGUAUUUUAAGGGAGGAGAAAUAUUUUUUUAUCUUUAAGUAUUGUGUGCGUUGUAGCACUGUCUGCCAGACAGAUAUCUCCAUCCUUCAUCUCAAAUUUGGACAUUUUCUGAAUUUAUAAAUAUUCAUAAAAAAUAUGUUAAUAUAUCAUAACAAACGAUUUAUAUUACAAUAAAACUAUUUUACAAUAGAGAUAAAAUACAAAACACACAAAAAAACAAACAUUAAGCUUUUAUUUUCUUCUUCAGGAAGAUAAACAUAACUAUCAUGUCACACAAACUUCUUCGGGAAGUUUUAUUCAUUUUGUUUAUCGUUGAUGGCUUCAGGAUCAACUAUGAAGUCGGCAAUGUCGAGAUAUGUAUCAUCGAUUAAACCAUCGAAAGAAGGCCCUGGUUCACCAUAAACAAAGUUGGUUUCUUUUUCUUUUUGUGAUUUUUGGUACAGAUCGGCCAAAUGUUUCGACGUACGACAGGUACGGGACCAAUGUCCUUUCAUGCCGCAUCUGUAACAAGCAUUUUCAUGUUGCUUAAUCGCGCGACCAUCUUCGUUCCUUUUGAAUCUUUUAUUGUUGUUUUUAGUGGAAUCAUUAGGACCAAAUUUUCUUCCAUGUCCACGUCCACGCACAUAUCCACCUCGUCCACGACCACGAUCAUUACUUCGAGCGCGUUUACGUCCGUAAUUAUUAUAAUUAGAUGCUGCAACAUUCACUUCCGGGAAUGGAGCUGAUCCAGUCGGACGAGAUUGAUGGUUCAAUAUCAUAAUUUCAUUAUUUUGUUCUGCAACCAACAGAACUUGCAUUAGUUCAGAAUACUUCGUGUAUCCUUUUGCUCGGUAUUGUUGUUGCAGAAGUACAUUUCCAGGAUGGAAUGUUUGGAGAGUUUUCUCAAUCAUAUCAUAAUCACUUAUAUUUUCUCCACAUAACAUUAUCCUGGAAGUAAUUCCGAACAAAGCGGAAUUAUAUUCGGCAACACUUUUGAAAUCCUGAAACCGGAGGUUCAGCCACUUGUGUUUCGCUUUUGGUAAGAUCACAUAUUUUUGGUGAUCAAACCUAUCUCCGAGUGCUUGCCAAAGAUCUGCAGGAUCUUCCUUUGUGAUGUAUUCAUCUUUUAAACCAUCAUGAAUAUGGUGGGUUAAAAAUAUCAUGGCAUUUGCCUUAUCCUCUUCAGGGGAUGAUUUUGAUUUAUCGAUGGUGUCAAGGAGCCUUUUUCCUUUUAAAUGCCUCUUUGCUGCAACGGCCCAUCUCAUAUAAUUAUUCCCAGAGAUAUCAAGGGCAGUUAUCUCGAGUUUUGUCAAAUUUGACAUGAUAACUGUAAACAUAUAAAAUAAUUUAUUAAACAUAAAUUUACUCGUUUUUCAAUUGUAAUUUAAAUGGCAUGAUAAUGUUAUUUAAUUAAAUUGAACCAUUUUAAAUAUGCAAACGAUUACAAAUGUCAUUAUUAAAAGUUUCAUUUAAUUAAUUUAAAACAUAGAAGGUACUUUCAUAAGUGAAGCGAUUACAAGAAACACAAUUACAUAGAGAAGUAAAAUAGAAACCAUUAAAAACUCUUCGGGAGAAAAUUCUCCAAAAAUUAAACCAUAAAUAGCAACAAAAAUAAAACCUAUUACAAAAACUAAGAAUGAAUUAACCAUUUUUUUUCUUAGAUUUUAGAGAGAGAUAUGAUGAAUGAGUGAAAUGAAAUGAAUGAAAAUGAUUGUAUUUAUAGAUUAAAAUUUAUUGUUCAUAACCGUUAUAAAUACUGUUCCUAGCCGUUUGAAAAAUAUAAAAUUUUGAAAAAUUUCUUCAUGACCGUUGGUGAAAAUAUUAAACCGAAAAUCAAUCGCAAAUAUAUAUAAUCAGAUAGUUAAAAAUUUAACAAUUUAGAUAUCAUAAUGGAAUUUAUAAACAUAACAUGAAUUAAAAUAUUACAAAAUUAAAAGAACAAUAAUUAUAAUUUCUCUUCUGGACAAAAUUUAUUAUAUAGUUCUUCUGGAACGUUUUCAUAUGUCUUCUGGACAUUUUUAUUUCAUAUAUUUUAUUUUAUAUAGUUCUUCAUGAACUUUAAAUAAAUAUCUUCAUGAUAUGUAAUUAUAAAAUAAUGAUCUGAGGAGGCAGAGCCUACCAUAUGAUCAUGAUCCGUUUCAGGAGGCAUAGCCUUCCAUAAGAUCAAGAAGGAGGUAUAACCUUCCAUUCCUUAAAUAUUAUAAAUAAAUAAAUUUUAAAUAAAUUUAAACAUAAUUUAAAAUAUUACCUUCACUAUACUUUAAAUAUUUAAUCGUGUAGAGAUUCGGAUGUUUUUAGAAACGAGAGCUUACUCGUGCUGAUAACGUGUUGAAUAACUAAAUAUUAUGAAGAUAAAUAUGUGUAUAAAUGUUAUAUGAUUUUUGAUUUAAGAGAGAGAUAGGAAGUAGAGUUUAGAGAGAGUUUAGAGAAUAGAUUUGCUUCUUUUAUUUUUUCCACUUGAAUUACAUUCACAAUGGCAUCUAUAUAUACAUAUAAUAAUGUCUUAAUGGAAUAGCUAAUAAUGGCUAAUAUUAGGGGGUGGCUAAUGGGAUGAGUGGAUAGGUUUGUGUAAUGGGAUGAGUGGGUAGGUUUGUGUGAUGAAUAAUCACAUAUUUCAUAACAGU
rnacentral:lncRNA from 1 species